rnacentral:rRNA from 1 species
AAGUCGAACGCUUGUCUUUCACCGGAGCUUGCUUCACCGAAAGAAAAGGAGUGGCGAACGGGUGAGUAACACGUGGGUAACCUGCCCAUCAGAAGGGGAUAACACUUGGAAACAGGUGCUAAUACCGUAUAACAAUCGAAACCGCAUGGUUUCGGUUUGAAAGGCGCUUUUGCGUCACUGAUGGAUGGACCCGCGGUGCAUUAGCUAGUUGGUGAGGUAACGGCUCACCAAGGCAACGAUGCAUAGCCGACCUGAGAGGGUGAUCGGCCACAUUGGGACUGAGACACGGCCCAAACUCCUACGGGAGGCAGCAGUAGGGAAUCUUCGGCAAUGGACGGAAGUCUGACCGAGCAACGCCGCGUGAGUGAAGAAGGUUUUCGGAUCGUAAAACUCUGUUGUUAGAGAAGAACAAGGAUGAGAGUAGAAUGUUCAUCUCUUGACGGUAUCUAACCAGAAAGCCACGGCUAACUACGUGCCAGCAGCCGCGGUAAUACGUAGGUGGCAAGCGUUGUCCGGAUUUAUUGGGCGUAAAGCGAGCGCAGGCGGUUUCUUAAGUCUGAUGUGAAAGCCCCCGGCUCAACCGGGGAGGGUCAUUGGAAACUGGGAAACUUGAGUGCAGAAGAGGAGAGUGGAAUUCCAUGUGUAGCGGUGAAAUGCGUAGAUAUAUGGAGGAACACCAGUGGCGAAGGCGGCUCUCUGGUCUGUAACUGACGCUGAGGCUCG